rnacentral:rRNA from 1 species
CCUACGGGAGGCAGCAGUAGGGAAUCUUCCACAAUGGGCGAAAGUCUGAUGCAGCAACGCCGCGUGGGUGAAGAAGGUCUUCGGAUCGUAAAACCCUGUUGUUAGAGAAGAAAGUGCGUGCGAGUAACUGUUCACGAUUCGACGGUAUCUAACCAGAAAGCCACGGCUAACUACGUGCCAGCAGCCGCGGUAAUACGUAGGUUGCAAGCGUUAUCCGGAUUUAUUGGGCGUAAAGGGAACGCAGGCGGUCUUUUAAGUCGGAUGUGAAAGCCUUCGGCUUAACCGGAGUAGUGCAUGGGAAACUGGGGGACUUGAGUGCAGAAGAGGAGAGUGGAACUUCAUGUGUAGCGGUGAAAUGCGUAGAUAUAUGGAAGAACACCAGUGGCGAAAGCGGCUCUCUGGUCUGUAACUGACGCUGAGGUUCGAAAGCGUGGGUAGCAAACAGGAUUAGAUACCCUUGUAGUC